rnacentral:lncRNA from 1 species
AACACUGAAUCUGUAUUUUAAUGGUGUCUAGAAAGCAGAGAAAAUUGAAGUGGCUGAAAAACUGAAUGUGACAAAAAUUCCCACGUUGAUUAUAGAUUAAUUUACCUUUGAAACUGAAAAACAGGAGUUAUGCUUCAUAUCUUUUUCUAUAUGAGCUUUUAUAUUAUGCUACAUUUUUUAUUUUAACAGAUGGCACAAUUUAAUCCUUAUCAGAGGGACAGGAGUUAUGUAGAAACUGGUAGUGUUUGUCUUGUGGUGUGGAGAAGAUUAAUGGGAACUAUAAUAUUUUGGGAUUUUUUUAUUAUAGCUACAUGUAUGUCUCCUAAAAUAUUAUCAUCAAUUUGGGUUUUUUUACAGAAUUUUUCUGUUUGUGUGAAAAUGAAGAGAACGAUGCCUGCAGCCAAACCUCCAAUCUAGCAACUAUUAGCUUUCCAAAAUUCAGAGCACCAUUAUCAAAUCCAUGACACUAACAACAUGUAUGGACCAUCAUCAUUCAGAUUUAAUUGGGCCAGAGGCUGCUCUAACUCAUCAGCUGAAAUAUACUUCUUCAAGAAGCUUGGCCAUGGAGACUACCAUUUAAUAAAUAUCUUCAAUUUCCCAGCAGCUUUGCCUUGUCUUGAGCAUGCACAAUGGGAAAGGAAAGGCCCAGGAGUUACCAACUGCUCAGUAAAGGAGAAAGAACAUUUCUGUGUCUUCCAUGGAACAGUGCAACAACAAAGAAGAAAAGCAUGUGUUGUAUUUAUUAUUAACCAGGACAACAAAAGGUGAGGAAGCCCCAAGAUUAACAGAAACAAAAAAAAAUUAUCUGACAUGUGAUGGUCACAAUAACUACAUGGAAAAAACCCCACCAUGUAUUUCAAUUCCAGUUAAAUAAAAGCCUGUUUCUGCC